GAUGAACGCUGGCGGCGUGCCUAAUACAUGCAAGUCGAGCGAACAGACGAGGAGCUUGCUCCUUCGACGUUAGCGGCGGACGGGUGAGUAACACGUAGGUAACCUACCUAUAAGACUGGGAUAACUUCGGGAAACCGGAGCUAAUACCGGAUAAUAUUUCGAACCGCAUGGUUCGAUAGUGAAAGAUGGCUUUGCUAUCACUUAUAGAUGGACCUGCGCCGUAUUAGCUAGUUGGUAAGGUAACGGCUUACCAAGGCAACGAUACGUAGCCGACCUGAGAGGGUGAUCGGCCACACUGGAACUGAGACACGGUCCAGACUCCUACGGGAGGCAGCAGUAGGGAAUCUUGCGCAAUGGGCGAAAGCCUGACGGAGCAACGCCGCGUGAGUGAUGAAGGUCUUCGGAUCGUAAAACUCUGUUAUUAGGGAAGAACAAACGUGUAAGUAACUGUGCACGUCUUGACGGUACCUAAUCAGAAAGCCACGGCUAACUACGUG
rnacentral:rRNA from 1 species